UGGGCAACCUGCCCCUCUCUCUGGGAUAACCCCGGGAAACCGGAGCUAAUACCGGAUACUCCGGCUGGAUCGCAUGGUCCGGCCGGGAAAGGUCCGCCGGAGAGGGAUGGGCCCGCGGCCUAUCAGCUUGUUGGUGGGGUCAUGGCUCACCAAGGCGACGACGGGUAGCUGGUCUGAGAGGACGACCAGCCACACUGGAACUGAGACACGGCCCAGACCUCCUACGGGAGCA
rnacentral:rRNA from 1 species